rnacentral:rRNA from 1 species
GGUUAAGCGACUAAGCGUACACGGUGGAUGCCCUGGCAGUCAGAGGCGAUGAAGGACGUGCUAAUCUGCGAUAAGCGUCGGUAAGGUGAUAUGAACCGUUAUAACCGGCGAUUUCCGAAUGGGGAAACCCAGUGUGAUUCGUCACACUAUCAUUAACUGAAUCCAUAGGUUAAUGAGGCGAACCGGGGGAACUGAAACAUCUAAGUACCCCGAGGAAAAGAAAUCAACCGAGAUUCCCCCAGUAGCGGCGAGCGAACGGGGAGCAGCCCAGAGCCUGAAUCAGUGUGUGUGUUAGUGGAAGCGUCUGGAAAGGCGCGCGAUACAGGGUGACAGCCCCGUACACAAAAAUGCACAUGCUGUGAGCUCGAUGAGUAGGGCGGGACACGUGGUAUCCUGUCUGAAUAUGGGGGGACCAUCCUCCAAGGCUAAAUACUCCUGACUGACCGAUAGUGAACCAGUACCGUGAGGGAAAGGCGAAAAGAACCCCGGCGAGGGGAGUGAAAAAGAACCUGAAACCGUGUACGUACAAGCAGUGGGAGCACGCUUAGGCGUGUGACUGCGUACCUUUUGUAUAAUGGGUCAGCGACUUAUAUUCUGUAGCAAGGUUAACCGAAUAGGGGAGCCGAAGGGAAACCGAGUCUUAACUGGGCGUUAAGUUGCAGGGUAUAGACCCGAAACCCGGUGAUCUAGCCAUGGGCAGGUUGAAGGUUGGGUAACACUAACUGGAGGACCGAACCGACUAAUGUUGAAAAAUUAGCGGAUGACUUGUGGCUGGGGGUGAAAGGCCAAUCAAACCGGGAGAUAGCUGGUUCUCCCCGAAAGCUAUUUAGGUAGCGCCUCGUGAAUUCAUCUCCGGGGGUAGAGCACUGUUUCGGCAAGGGGGUCAUCCCGACUUACCAACCCGAUGCAAACUGCGAAUACCGGAGAAUGUUAUCACGGGAGACACACGGCGGGUGCUAACGUCCGUCGUGAAGAGGGAAACAACCCAGACCGCCAGCUAAGGUCCCAAAGUCAUGGUUAAGUGGGAAACGAUGUGGGAAGGCCCAGACAGCCAGGAUGUUGGCUUAGAAGCAGCCAUCAUUUAAAGAAAGCGUAAUAGCUCACUGGUCGAGUCGGCCUGCGCGGAAGAUGUAACGGGGCUAAACCAUGCACCGAAGCUGCGGCAGCGACGCUGAUGCGUUGUUGGGUAGGGGAGCGUUCUGUAAGCCUGCGAAGGUGUGCUGUGAGGCAUGCUGGAGGUAUCAGAAGUGCGAAUGCUGACAUAAGUAACGAUAAAGCGGGUGAAAAGCCCGCUCGCCGGAAGACCAAGGGUUCCUGUCCAACGUUAAUCGGGGCAGGGUGAGUCGACCCCUAAGGCGAGGCCGAAAGGCGUAGUCGAUGGGAAACAGGUUAAUAUUCCUGUACUUGGUGUUACUGCGAAGGGGGGACGGAGAAGGCUAUGUUGGCCGGGCGACGGUUGUCCCGGUUUAAGCGUGUAGGCUGGUUUUCCAGGCAAAUCCGGAAAAUCAAGGCUGAGGCGUGAUGACGAGGCACUACGGUGCUGAAGCAACAAAUGCCCUGCUUCCAGGAAAAGCCUCUAAGCAUCAGGUAACAUCAAAUCGUACCCCAAACCGACACAGGUGGUCAGGUAGAGAAUACCAAGGCGCUUGAGAGAACUCGGGUGAAGGAACUAGGCAAAAUGGUGCCGUAACUUCGGGAGAAGGCACGCUGAUAUGUAGGUGAAGCGACUUGCUCGUGGAGCUGAAAUCAGUCGAAGAUACCAGCUGGCUGCAACUGUUUAUUAAAAACACAGCACUGUGCAAACACGAAAGUGGACGUAUACGGUGUGACGCCUGCCCGGUGCCGGAAGGUUAAUUGAUGGGGUCAGCGCAAGCGAAGCUCUUGAUCGAAGCCCCGGUAAACGGCGGCCGUAACUAUAACGGUCCUAAGGUAGCGAAAUUCCUUGUCGGGUAAGUUCCGACCUGCACGAAUGGCGUAAUGAUGGCCAGGCUGUCUCCACCCGAGACUCAGUGAAAUUGAACUCGCUGUGAAGAUGCAGUGUACCCGCGGCAAGACGGAAAGACCCCGUGAACCUUUACUAUAGCUUGACACUGAACAUUGAGCCUUGAUGUGUAGGAUAGGUGGGAGGCUUUGAAGUGUGGACGCCAGUCUGCAUGGAGCCGACCUUGAAAUACCACCCUUUAAUGUUUGAUGUUCUAACGUGGACCCGUGAUCCGGGUUGCGGACAGUGUCUGGUGGGUAGUUUGACUGGGGCGGUCUCCUCCUAAAGAGUAACGGAGGAGCACGAAGGUUGGCUAAUCCUGGUCGGACAUCAGGAGGUUAGUGCAAUGGCAUAAGCCAGCUUGACUGCGAGCGUGACGGCGCGAGCAGGUGCGAAAGCAGGUCAUAGUGAUCCGGUGGUUCUGAAUGGAAGGGCCAUCGCUCAACGGAUAAAAGGUACUCCGGGGAUAACAGGCUGAUACCGCCCAAGAGUUCAUAUCGACGGCGGUGUUUGGCACCUCGAUGUCGGCUCAUCACAUCCUGGGGCUGAAGUAGGUCCCAAGGGUAUGGCUGUUCGCCAUUUAAAGUGGUACGCGAGCUGGGUUUAGAACGUCGUGAGACAGUUCGGUCCCUAUCUGCCGUGGGCGCUGGAGAAUUGAGGGGGGCUGCUCCUAGUACGAGAGGACCGGAGUGGACGCAUCACUGGUGUUCGGGUUGUCAUGCCAAUGGCACUGCCCGGUAGCUAAAUGCGGAAGAGAUAAGUGCUGAAAGCAUCUAAGCACGAAACUUGCCCCGAGAUGAGUUCUCCCUGACUCCUUGAGAGUCCUGAAGGAACGUUGAAGACGACGACGUUGAUAGGCCGGGUGUGUAAGCGCAGCGAUGCGUUGAGCUAACCGGUACUAAUGAACCGUGAGGCUUAACCUU